GAGUUUGAUCGUGGCUCAGAGCGAACGCUGGCGGCAGGCCUAAUACAUGCAAGUCGAGCGGCCCUUCGGGGCAGCGGCGGACGGGUGAGUAACGCGUGGGAACGUGCCCUUUGGUACGGAACAACUGAGGGAAACUUCAGCUAAUACCGUAUGUGCCCUACGGGGGAAAGAUUUAUCGCCAUUGGAGCGGCCCGCGUUGGAUUAGCUAGUUGGUGGGGUAAUGGCCCACCAAGGCGACGAUCCAUAGCUGGUCUGAGAGGAUGAUCAGCCACACUGGGACUGAGACACGGCCCAGACUCCUACGGGAGGCAGCAGUAGGGAAUCUUGCGCAAUGGGCGAAAGCCUGACGCAGCCAUGCCGCGUGAAUGAUGAAGGUCUUAGGAUUGUAAAAUUCUUUUCACCGGGGAAGAUAAUGACGGUACCCGGAGAAGAAGCCCCGGCUAACUUCGUGCCAGCCGCCGCCGUAAG
rnacentral:rRNA from 1 species